AUCACUUCUCAGCCUUUUGGGUAAGAUCAAGUGCAGUAUCUGUUCUUAUCAGGUUAAUAUCCGAUACGUCCUCUAUCCGAGGACAAUAUAUUAAAUGGAUUUUUGAACAUAGGAGAUGAAAUAGGAGCUUGCUCCACCCACUCCACACAUCGACCUGGUAUUGCAGUACUUCCAGGAAUAGUGCAAGAAUA
rnacentral:snRNA from 1 species